GCUCUGUGUGGCCCUUACAUGAUACAUAGCUCAGUCGGCAGAACACAAGACUCGUAACUUCAGGGUCGUGUGUUCAAGCCCCACAUUGAGCA